GACGAACGCUGGCGGCGUGCCUAAUACAUGCAAGUAGAACGAGUUGCGAACGGGUGAGUAACGCGUGGUAACCUGCCUCAUAGCGGGGGAUAACUAUUGGAAACGAUAGCUAAUACCGCAUACUGUGAGAUGGACCUGCUUUGUAUUAGCUAGUGGUGGAGGUAAAGGCUCACAAAGGCGACGAUACAUAGCCGACCUGAGAGGAUGACCAGCCACCCUGGAACUGAGACACGUUCCAGACUCCUCCGGGAGGCAGCAGGGGGGAAUAUUGCACAAUGGGCGAAAGCCGGAUGCAGCCAUGCCGCGUGUAUGAAGAAGGCCUUCGGGUUGUAAAGUACUUUCAGCGAGGAGGCGUUACUCGCAGAAGAAGCACCGGCUAACUCCGUGCCAGCAGCCGCGGUAAUUC
rnacentral:rRNA from 1 species